rnacentral:rRNA from 1 species
GACGAACGCUGGCGGCGUGCCUAAUACAUGCAAGUAGAACGCUGAAGAGAGGAGCUUGCUCUUCUUGGAUGAGUUGCGAACGGGUGAGUAACGCGUAGGUAACCUGCCUUGUAGCGGGGGAUAACUAUUGGAAACGAUAGCUAAUACCGCAUAACAAUGGAUGACACAUGUCAUUUAUUUGAAAGGGGCAAUUGCUCCACUACAAGAUGGACCUGCGUUGUAUUAGCUAGUAGGUGAGGUAAUGGCUCACCUAGGCGACGAUACAUAGCCGACCUGAGAGGGUGAUUGGCCACACUGGGACUGUGACACGGCCCAGACUCCUACGGGAGGCAGCAGUAGGGAAUCUUCGGCAAUGGGGGCAACCCUGACCGAGCAACGCCGCGUGAGUGAAGAAGGUUUUCGGAUCGUAAAGCUCUGUUGUAAGUCAAGAACGGGUGUGAGAGUGGAAAGUUCACACUGUGACGGUAGCUUACCAGAAAGGGACGGCUAACUACGUG